rnacentral:rRNA from 1 species
AUUGAACGCUGGCGGCAGGCUUAACACAUGCAAGUCGAGCGGGGUGAUGGUGCUUGCACUAUCACUUAGCGGCGGACGGGUGAGUAAUGCUUAGGAAUCUGCCUAUUAGUGGGGGACAACAUCUCGAAAGGGAUGCUAAUACCGCAUACGUCCUACGGGAGAAAGCAGGGGAUCACUUGUGACCUUGCGCUAAUAGAUGAGCCUAAGUCGGAUUAGCUAGUUGGUGGGGUAAAGGCCUACCAAGGCGACGAUCUGUAGCGGGUCUGAGAGGACGAUCCGCCACAAUGGGACUGGGACACGGCCCAGACUCCUACGGGAGGCAGCAGUGGGGAAUAUUGGACAAUGGGGGGAACCCUGAUCCAGCCAUGCCGCGUGUGUGAAGAAGGCCUUAUGGUUGUAAAGCACUUUAAGCGAGGAAGAGGCUCUUUUGGUUAAUACCCAAGAUGAGUGGACGUUACUCGCAGAAUAAGCACCGGCUAACUCUGUGCCAGCCGCCGCCGUAA